rnacentral:rRNA from 1 species
UACGUAGGGUGCGAGCGUUGUCCGGAAUUAUUGGGCGUAAAGGGCUCGUAGGCGGUCUGUCGCGUCGGGAGUGAAAGCUCAGGGCUUAACCCUGAGCCUGCUUCCGAUACGGGCAGACUAGAGGUAUGCAGGGGAGAACGGAAUUCCUGGUGUAGCGGUGAAAUGCGCAGAUAUCAGGAGGAACACCGGUGGCGAAGGCGGUUCUCUGGGCAUUACCUGACGCUGAGGAGCGAAAGUGUGGGGAGCGAACAGG